GAUAAUCAAUUAUACGUUGCCUGCAUAUCACCGGCUCGUGUUCCUUAAGCAAGUUACGUCGCAUGGGGACAUACACAGUUGACCAAUCCCUGGGGAAAGAUUCUUUACGAUUUGGAAACUCAAGAGAAUAUGGCAGUCACCGAUAUCGAUCUAAAAGUUGUUGAGGAAGUAAGGGCUCAGAUACCUACAUUUUCUCAGAGACGUACAGAUUUGUACGACACUGUCUGUAAGAAGGAGUAACUCUACACUAAAACAGAAAAUGUUUUUUUAUAAUAUUUCUACUACGAUAUCCUUUUUUUGUGAAUUAUUACUAAUUUCUUAUCAUUUGUACUGAAUGAAUGACUCAAUUAAGAAAACCAAAACGUUAUAAAUAAUAAUCUGUAUAUCUUGUGUAUCAACAUGUAAUUGGAUAUUAUAAUAAUAUAGGAUAAUAAUAUAGGAGAAUAAUAAUAUAGAAAAAAAUACAUGCUUUUAAACACCUUUAA